AGUCUGCCGUGAAGCUUUCAUCCAUGUAUACGGGUGCACUAUCCUUCUGACCAUAUGCAGCCAGGUCCCAUCUACUUUUUAACUCCUCGCAAGUGUGGCUUGUUUGGUUUCUGCUGUGAAAGAAUACCAUAACAAUUCAACUACUUGAUUGAUGAAGGCAUGUCAUCCAGCAAAGGCAGCAGUGCAGUCAUCAACUACAUGCACCAUUUCUUCACCAACUAUGGAGUUGGGGAAACAUGUGUGGAUCUGAAUUAUGAUAACUGCAGUGGCCAAAACAAUAACAAGUUUGUGCUCUGUUAUUGUGCCUGGCGGACCCUGCACAAGCUCCACCACAGUCUGGACCUUCACUUCCUGAUCACAGGCCACACCAAAUUUGCCCUCAACUGGUGCUUUGGCCUCAUAAAGCAGCGCUUCAGAAAGACCAGAGUGAACACUUUGUCUGAGAUUGCUGGUGUUUUGAAGGACAGCACUGUGACAGGGGUCAACAUCCCACAGCUGGUUGGACUGGAGGAUGGUACGGUGCUGAUGGAACGGUGCUGAUGGAACGGUGCUGAUGGAACGGUGCUGAUGGAACGGUGCUGAUGGAACGGUGCUGAUGGAACGCUAUGGCUGGCAACAACACCUGACUCCGUACUUCAGGCCGCUGCCACAGAUCAAGCUGUACCAGCACUUCAGCUUCGAUGCACUGGAGCAGGGUGUUUUUGUUGCCAAGGAGUGUUCGGAAUCAGUCAGGACCAGGUUUCAGCUGCUGCGCAAUGCUUACAUCCUUCCUCCCAUAAAUGGUCUGCCUGUACAAGCACCACCUG